rnacentral:rRNA from 1 species
UACGUAGGGGGCUAGCGUUGUCCGGAAUCAUUGGGCGUAAAGAGCGUGUAGGCGGCCCGGUAAGUCCGCUGUGAAAGUCGGGGGCUCAACCCUCGAAUGCCGGUGGAUACUGUCGGGCUAGAGUGCGGAAGAGGCGAGUGGAAUUCCUGGUGUAGCGGUGAAAUGCGCAGAUAUCAGGAGGAACACCAAUUGCGAAGGCAGCGCGCUGGGACGUAACUGACGCUGAGACGCGAAAGCGUGGGGAGCAAACAGG